UGAGGAAUAUUGGUCAAUGGGCGGAAGCCUGAACCAGCCAUCCCGCGUGAAGGAAGAAGGCCUUAUGGGUUGUAAACUUCUUUUCUGUUUGAAGAAUAAGCUUGUCGAGACAAGUGAUGCCGGUAGGACAGGAAUAAGCAUCGGCUAACUCCGUGCCAGCAGCCGCGGUAAUACGGAGGAUGCAAGCGUUAUCCGGAUUCAUUGGGUUUAAAGGGUGCGCAGGUGGUUUAAUAAGUCAGUGGUGAAAGUCUGCCGCUUAACGGUAGGAUUGCCAUUGAUACUGUUGGACUUGAAUAUGGAUGAGGUAGGCGGAAUGUGUAGUGUAGCGGUGAAAUGCUUAGAUAUUACACAGGACACCGAUUGCGAAGGCAGCUUACUAAUCCAUGAUUGACGCUGAGGCACGAAAGCGUGGGGAUCAAACAG
rnacentral:rRNA from 1 species